AGCGAACGCUGGCGGCAGGCCUAACACAUGCAAGUCGAACGAACUCUUCGGAGUUAGUGGCGGACGGGUGAGUAACACGUGGGAACGUGCCUUUUGGUUCGGAAUAACUCAGGGAAACUUGUGCUAAUACCGAAUGUGCCCUUCGGGGGAAAGAUUUAUCGCCAUUAGAGCGGCCCGCGUCUGAUUAGCUAGUUGGUGAGGUAACGGCUCACCAAGGCGACGAUCAGUAGCUGGUCUGAGAGGAUGACCAGCCACACUGGGACUGAGACACGGCCCAGACUCCUACGGGAGGCAGCAGGGGGGAAUCUUGCGAAAGGGGAGAAAGCCUGACGCAGCAAUGCCGCGUGAAUGAUGAAGGUCUUAGGAUUGUAAAAUUCUUUCACCGGGGACGAUAAUGACGGUACCCGGAGAAGAAGCCCCGGCUAACUUC
rnacentral:rRNA from 1 species